CCUUAUACUGUAUCUAAGCUUAAUUUUAGGUCUGACCUAGUUCCCAUGCUUUACUUCUCCAUCAGCUCUCAGUAAAACUUUGCAAGUGCAUAUUGAAUUUCUUGUGUAGUUUAGUUUCUUUCUUUUUUUUUUUUUGUAGUUUAAUUCCAAACAUAACCUUUUAGGGCUUCUGGAAGUACAGUGGGAAUAUAGUGCUAUAAAAUAGGACAGUGACCCGAUAAAGCAUCUGUUUGGACAUUUACCAACAAAAAGAUUUUAGUGAGUUACC
rnacentral:lncRNA from 1 species